CUUACACUCGAGAGAACGAUAAGCGCGACGAACACCGUGGUUCGUUCGCUGGGUGGAAUUGCGUUCGUAGAAUUGUUACGGGCUGCUGAUGGCGAGGGAACCACGCGACCGAGUUUGCGCGCUCGACCGACUUUCUCCCCUUCGACUGACUGCUCUCACUUUCGUUCGGGGUCGCGCCAACUGACACUGCUGAACAAGAGCAGUAUCGACGACCGCGAGAGGAACGCGGCUAACGGAGGACGAACCGCGAGAUACGCAAGUCGCGCAAGCGCCGCGACGCCACGCGCCCUGCUGCCCUAACAUUCGGACAUCGGAGCUUUCACUCUCUGGGGAUGGAAAAUUGAAAUUCCGCGUUGAAGACCACUUUCAUCUUUGCUUUAAAAGAGCUGACCUUCUAGCGCGACAAGACCCGCGAAGAUCGAUGAAAAAUAGUAGAGCGAGAAAGUGUCACCGCAGGUCUCUUUCAUCCUCCAGAAGAGCUUCGAAAGUAUGUACUCUGAAUCGUAAGGAACUGAUAGUGUUUCGUAAAAAUGUUGUUUCGUUCCUAGAUAUCGUAUGCACGACGCGUAAAAAACAAAUCGUUCUUUCAUAAGAACAGCUUAAAAAGAGUUAAACUCGAAACGUGUAUAUCACCCGUUUCAUAAUUACGAUAUGGCUUGCGCUUCGGGCUUACGAUAUUCCGAGUUGCGAAACAUAAAUUGGCGCGUUCAAAAAAUUUGGCACGUCGCGAAUCGCGCACGCUUUUCUGCCUGCAUAAACAAUUUCUCGUCCACUCAGCAAUAAUACCGAUGCAAUGAACGUCAUAUUAUUCGUUUCGUUUAAACACGAGGUUUUUCGCUCACCGUUUAUCCUCGAUAAAAGUUUCCCUUCCGCGACUUAGAGCGUGUCUCAUAACCGCAUCGAUUUCGAAUUUUCCGCGACGAUAAAACCGACGCGACAAAAAUCGGGCAGAUACUCCGGGGAGCGAUAAACCGCAAACCAAAUCCGGAAGCAAGCAGCAGAAUGCUCAGCAAAAAGAGAAGAGGGGAAAAUGAAAUCUGGUUUGUCUCGCACAAUUGAACUAACAUUCGUAAAAUUCUAUAUCAUUCGUGAAAUUUUACGAAUCAUCUUUAUUAAUAAAUAUUUUCACAUAUCGUUACCAAGUUUGCUAACGAAACAGAUGAAAGGGUAAGUUGUAUAAAUUU
rnacentral:misc_RNA from 1 species